rfam:Puccinia sorghi strain RO10H11247 Scaffold_1747, whole genome shotgun sequence.
GUCUCCAUAGCUCAGUGGUUUAGAGCGGCCGCCUGCAGUAGGUACAGCGGCAGGUCACGUGUUCAAAUCACGUUGGGGACU